rnacentral:misc_RNA from 1 species
CACAAUAAAAUAUGAAGGCUGUACGCGGCUGUGCUCUCGGGCCAGUUUUGCGGAGGCUGAAUUAUUUAUUACCCUUUGUCUUUUGCGCACUUGUUGUUCCUGGGCGGGUUCGCCCGCCACCAGGACCACAUCAUAAACCUUUUUAUGCAGUUGCAAUCAGCGUCAGUAUAACAAAUGUAAAUCAUUUA